CCUACGGGGCGCAGCAGUGGGGGAUAUUGCACAAUGGGGGAAACCCUGAUGCAGCGACGCCGCGUGGGCGAAGAAGUAUUUCGGUAUGUAAAGCCCUAUCAGCAGGCAAGAAGAAAUGACGGUACCUGAGUAAGAAGCACCGGCUAAAUACGUGCCAGCAGCCGCGGUAAUACGUAUGGUGCAAGCAUUAUCCGGAUUUACUGGGUGUAAAGGGAGCGCAGGCGGCACGGCAAGCCUGAUGUGAAAGCCCGCGGCCCAACCGCGGGACUGCAUUGGGAACUACCGGGCUGGAGUGCCGGAGAGGUAAGUGGAAUUCCUAGUGUAGCGGUGAAAUGCGUAGAUAUUAGGAGGAACACCAGUGGCGAAGGCGGCUUACUGGACUGUAACUGACGUUGAGGCUCGAAAGCGUGGGGAGCAAACAGGAUUAGAUACCCCGGUAGUC
rnacentral:rRNA from 1 species